AGUAAAUUGGUUAAGUUAGAAAGGGCGCACGGUGGAUGCCUUGGCACUAGGAGCCGAAGAAGGACGGGACUAACACCGAUAUGCUUUGGGGAGCUGUACGUAAGCGUUGAUCCAGAGAUUUCCGAAUGGGGGAACCCACUAUCUUUAGUCGGAUAGUAUCCUUACGUGAAUACAUAGCGUGAGGAAGGCAGACCCAGGGAA
rnacentral:rRNA from 1 species